rnacentral:misc_RNA from 1 species
GAUGAAGAAACGCAGCGAAAUGCGAUAAGUAAUGUGAAUUGCAGAAUUUUGUGAAUCAUCGAAUCUUUGAACGCACAUUGCACCUUUUGGUAUUCCGAAAGGUAUGCUUGUUCGAGCGUCGUUUAUACCAUAUCAAUUUAAUUAUUGAAUGUAUUGAAGGCUUUCUUGUGUUGAACCUGGUUUCGACACACCUUCCAAAAUGAUUGAGCGAUCUUGAUUAGACUUGUUUAACGCAUUAAUAUACCUAUCGUUAGAAGAGGAAAUCAUGGGAUCUGCCAGAUUUUAAAAAUCGCGGGUGUCUUUUGGGGUUGCAAAACCGGAAAGAAAGACACCACACUCAUACAAAAACGAUCGACCUCGAAUCAAGUAGGAUUACCCGCUGAACUUAAGCAUAUCAAUAAGCGGAGGA